UUUGUACUCCCUCCGUCCCAAAAUUCUUGUCUUAAAUUUGUCUAAAUACAAAUGUAUCUAGUUACAUUUUAGUGUUCGAUACAUUCGUAUCUAAACAAAUGUAAGACAAAAAUUUUGGGACGGAGGGAAUACUAC
rfam:Triticum urartu cultivar G1812 contig548532, whole genome shotgun sequence.